CAAAUCUAUUACAUUUAUUGAGCUAUGUUAAUGUCAGACGAUGUAAGAGAAGUUUCCAGCACCCCACUAAAUGACAACUCUCCCCCACUCAACCUCAGUAAAGUCCUGAAGAGAGCUAGCUCAACUCUCUCCCUCAAUAACAAGGCUGAACAUGAGGUGGUUACAAUUGUAGAUUCUGAUGAGGAUUCACUUGAAGUGGUUACUUCCUCAAGCUCCUCGGACAAGGACAGUUGUUCCAUUUGUUUGGGUGCCUUUAAUAAUAGGUCCUUUUUAAAUGACUGUUUCCAUGCGUUCUGCUACUACUGUAUUCUUCAGUGGUCUGAGAUUUCUCAGACUUGUCCCUUGUGUAAGAAGGUGUUCAGUGUUUUGAUACACGAUGUUAAAUCUAUAACAGAGUACAAAGAAACACAUAUAAAGAAGGAUGAAGCAGCGAUAAUACCUCCGGUUGUUAGGAAUAAUUUCCGUAACACUGUCAGAUACCGGACAACUAACAGAGCUACUACGGCUCGUAAUAACUCAAAUAGUAACUCAAAUAGCAACUCAAAUAGUAACUCAAAUAGUAACUCAAAUAGUAAUUCAAAUAAUGGUUCAAAUAAUGGUUCUAAUAAUGGUUCAAAUAGCAAUUCAAAUAAUGGUUCAAGUUCAAGUGUAGUUCCGAUCGAAAUACCUGAGAACCAGGACAGUCGACGGAAGCGGAGACGAAAUGCCAGUCCUAUUCCGCAGGAAGAGAACGUCAGAAUAAAGGAGGCGCGGCAGAGAGUUUACGCUAAUAACCUUUUUGCGAAGGCUUGCUCCACUGACCAAAAAACACGGAAAGCGACACCAGAAUUCUAUAAACACUAUGAAGGAGCAAAACACAGGCUCUUCCCUUGGAUGAGAAAUGAACUUGAAUUGUUGCUUUACAAUAACACUGAGCACGUGUUCUUUAUUCUGGAAAUUCUGUGGAAGCUUCUAGACCAUCACCACAUCAACUCCGAUGAGUUCAAGCAUGAAAUGAAACCAUUUCUCUUCGACAAAACGGAUCAUUUCUGUCAUGAACUGUACAUGUUUGCUACCAGUCCAUACGACUGGAAAACUUACCUAAAGAAAGUUCAUUACGAUGAUGUAAGUUCUGUAAGCAGAUGGGAUAUGUCACCUGUAAGAUACAUCGGGGAGACCUCCGGAUCCUCAGCUGGUGACACCAUUUCUAACACAAGAUGGGACGACGAGACCGUCACCAGAACCCGCAGCGAGAGUUCCUCCAUAGAGUUCAUCGAAGAAAGAGAACUGGAUGUGAACAUCACAACCGACAGCAGUGACUCAGAAAUCAACAGAUCAUCACCCAAACUUCUCAAAAUCACCAACACCAGCUCAACAGAAGACGAUCCCAUCGUGGUGGACGAGCUGGAUGAACCAUCUCAAAACUGUUCCGUAACUCCCGUCUACAUAGACCUGGAAGAUAUCCCUCCUACUCCCACCCCUCCCAGAUCUCCUGUCAGCAGAGGGGGAUCCUGUUCUCCUGAACCCUCCUCACCUAACCUCAGAUACAACUCUCCAGCCAGCCAUCCUCGUGCCUCUCCAAUCAAGCACCUCAACUCGCCCUGCUUCCCUUGUUCUCCGAUCAGAAACAACUCUCCCAGCUACUCUAGGUCUCCUUCUCCUGUUAAGGGUAAGGGUAAGGAGAAGAAGAGGAAGAAGAAACAUGGUGUUUCUCCUACAGUCACCCUCACCAACAAACCUUCUCCCGUUAGAGUGCUUAUCGAUGACAGCGAACCUUGCUCUUCUAAAUACUUGACUUGAAAUAUUUCUGGUUUUACUGCACAUGAAUUUAUUAAGUUUGUGGCAAGAAGACUGCUUUAUAAUGAAUUAGUUUUUAAAGAUAACAGUUGUCCAUCAUCUAAUGAGCGUGAUGAAUUACUUGCUGUUCGUACGAUUCGCGAUACUGUUAAUGACUUGUAAGAAACCAUUUUAUCUCCAUACAAUACAUUUUCGGCUGGGAUAUUGUGCUUUAAUGCAUUGAUAUUAUUUUUAUCAUUUAACAUGGCAUUGAUAUUUUUAUCAGUAUUGGAUUUUCAAUAGUCUUUUAUCUCGGACGGUUUUCAUUCACAAUUAGGAUUGAUAAUUAUAGUAUACAUUUAAUUGAUAAUGAUAUGCGUAGGCUGUAUUGUAAAGCUAUGAGCAUAAAGUUCAAAACAAACUUUCGCUAGGAACAGCUGAUUAAAACUAGAUAUAUUUAUAUAACAUUGGACCACUAGUAUACUUGGGUACUGCAAUAGGCUUUCUCAGAAGGGUUGCCAUUUAAGCAAUUGAGAACUGCGAUACUAAUUCCUCCACCACCUCAAUAAUAGGAAUAAGUCUAUCAGAUCCCUUGUUUUGAUUCUACACUGUACAAUGUACAAUGUACACUGCUGUAAUUUGUUGCGGGGCUUUAAAAUUGAGGGUAAAGAUGUCACUGAUUCCCCCUGAUCAUUAUGCAUCCAGACAAUACAAUGAAGAUUGAUCAGUUAAAUCUAUUAUCUAUAAUUGAUUAAAUUAUCCCUCCUUGGCAAAUGGUUGGUUAUUUAUUUGUUAAUUUCUGACCUCUUAAAAAUCAAAUAAUGUAUGAUAUGUGGCCCAUCAAAUGCACUUAAUUCAAAAAGAGUGCACUAUGUUCUCUUAUAUUGUAUAUUAUUGUAUUGAUUUAUUUUCGUUUUAUUUCAAAUCAUAUAUAAUAUCCAUACCAGUGCCACUAACUUUUCUGCUUUAUAUUGAUUUAUCAGCAUCGUUGCUGAUAAUUCAUUUGACAGUACAUGAGCCUAUUAUUUGACACAACAGUAUUAAAUUUUGAUGAAAGUUGUUUGGACAUAAGUGUAUAAAUUCAAAUAACUCAACAACGUGUUAAAUGUUAAUAUUGCUAGUUGAUACAAUAAUAAGAACUUAAAAAGUAGAUAAUUGUAAUUAUUAGAAGAUGUUAAGACGUAUUGUACGCGGCACCGGAGAUAAAAAAGUACAGCUGCAAGAUCUUAUCAAACAAGUAGACGCCUUCCCAAAGGUAGAAGACAGCUAUGUAACUACAAAUUCGUUUGGUGGUGUCGUUACGUUGAUUUGUUGGAUCGGGAUAGGGUUCUUACUGUACUCCGAGAUAAACGAUUUCCUCCGACCAAAUAUGGAGUACAAGUACAAAGUAGAUCAUGAUAAGACCUCCAAACUGUCCAUCAACGUGGACAUGACGGUUAAAAUGCCGUGUAACCUUAUUGGAGCUGAUGUGCUCGAUAUUUGGGGACGGGAUUUAGGUAACACUGAGUUGUUGAAGGAGGAACUAGUACCGUUCGAGUUAGCUGAGAAUCAGAAGAUGUUCCUGAAAUUACAAGGCGCUGUCAAGGAGUUUGGACAAGCUCAUGCUUCUCUGGAAGAUAUGAUGGGGGACAUAUCACGUAAACUUGUGCCUCGUGACGAUCACGGAAUAGAGGUUCCUAAAGAUGCGUGUAGAUUACAUGGCAGUAUUCCUGUUGAUAAAAUUAAAGGAAACUUCCAUAUUUUAUCAGGUCGAUCUGUGAAGAUAGCUGGGUUAGGGCACGCUCACCUCCAGUUCGGAGAGGUUCAGAAAAACUUCUCGCACCGUAUUGACGGAUUAACAUUUGGAGACAGAGUAAACGGCAUGAUGUACGCACUGGACGGAGAGCACAAGAUCGCUCCGACUUCGGAAUAUAGCUUUCAAUAUUAUGUCCAGAUUGUACCCACGAAGUAUAUAACUGAGUCGCUGAACGUGCAAACGUAUCAAUACACAGUUCAAGAACAGAUUCGAGCGAUUGACCCAGCGUCAGGUAGUCACGGUACAGCUGGUAUCGUGAUCAAGUACCAGUUCUCACCCAUAUCAGCUAUAGUGCAUGUAAAGGAGAAGAAUUGGGUCAUAUUCCUGACCAGAAUGUUAGGCGUUGUCGGGGGGGUUAUCAGUACUUCAGGUUUACUAAAUCUGGUGAUAACAGAGAGCUUUGAGUUUAUUUGUUGUCGCUUCAAAAAACAGACCGUACCUGUCAAAGCGGAGUCGUAAUGGACAUUAAUUUGAACAACAGAAUAAUUUAUUUUAAUUUCGAAUUUACAUUUCAGAUUGGUAUAUUCAGUGCUUUGUUAGCAAGGCGGGAGCAUGUCUAUUUUUGAAGUUUAUCAGCGUUUUUAGCAUUAAGUUGCAUGUAACUACAUUAUAUAAUGAAAUAACGAGUUAACGAGUUAACGAAACUGUGUGUUACUUUUUUUUGACAUAAUGUUUUGUUGUUUAACAUUUUGUUUUGUCGGACCGACUAUGACGUUAAAUUUGUUCUCUAAAUUAGACACGAAUGUAAGCACAUAUAAUGUUAAAUACUUCAUAUCUUUAAGAGUUAUUGACUCUGGUCUUUCCGCCUAUUAUGAUUCAAUUCCUGUUGUAAUCUUUGUAUGUGCUUGCGAGGGGUGAUAUUUUGUUAAAUAAUUUUGUCUUGAUAUGACACUUAAAAACAAUGAAGAUAUCUGUACAAAUUUGCAAUGUUAUUGUUAUAUCAUCACAUUCACUUUGGGGUAUAUUGUCAUCAUAAA